CGAGGCGGAGACCUGGAGGAGAGGAGCUGCGGAGAGGGGUUAGGCGGGGAGAGAGAGAGAGCGAGCCAGGUUCAGGUCCAGGGAGGAGAGAGACAGCGCGCGCGAGGCGGAGACCUGGAGGAGAGGAGCUGCGGAGAGGGGUUAGGCGGGGAGAGAGAGAGAGCGAGCCAGGUUCAGGUCCAGGGAGGAGAGAGACAGCGCGCGCGAGGCGGAGACCUGGAGGGAGAGGAGCUGCGGAGAGGGGUUAGGCGGGGAGGGAGAGAGCCAGGUUCAGGUCCAGGGAGGAGAGAGACAGCGCGCGCGAGGCGGAGACCUGGAGGGAGAGGAGCUGCGGAGAGGGGUUAGGCGGGGAGAGAGAGAGCGAGCCAGGUUCAGGUCCAGGGAGGAGAGAGACAGCGCGCGCGAGGCGGAGACCUGGAGGGAGAGGAGCUGCGGAGAGGGGUUAGGCGGGGAGGGAGAGAGACAGCGCGCGCGAGGCGGAGACCUGGAGGGAGAGGAGCUGCGGAGAGGGGUUAGGCGGCGGGAGGCCCGGGAGCGUUACAUGUGUGUGGACUCGGGGAGGGCGGCGGGGGGCCGCUCCUCGGGGCCGUCUGCCUGCAGGAAGGAGUCCACGGACUUGCUGCUGAGGCGGAAGGGCAUCAGGCGGCAGAAGGUGCCGGGAGAGUAGGGAAUCUGCGUGCGGGC
rnacentral:lncRNA from 1 species